UAACUAUCCGCUGACCUUGGAUAUAGGA
rnacentral:sRNA from 1 species